rnacentral:rRNA from 1 species
UACGUAGGGUGCGAGCGUUAAUCGGAAUUACUGGGCGUAAAGCGUGCGCAGGCGGUUCGUUGUGUCGGCGGUGAAAGCCCCGGGCUCAACCUGGGAAUGGCCGUUGAAACUGGCGAACUGGAGUGUGGCAGAGGGGGGGGGUGGAAUUCCGCGUGUAGCAGUGAAAUGCGUAGAGAUGCGGAGGAACACCGAUGGCGAAGGCAGCCCCCUGGGCUGACACUGACGCUCAGGCACGAAAGCGUGGGGAGCAAACAGG